rnacentral:rRNA from 1 species
AUUGAACGCUGGCGGCAUGCUUUACACAUGCAAGUCGGACGAGUGGCGAACGGGUGAGUAAUAUAUCGGCACGUAGCUAGUCUUGGGGGAUAACUAAUCGAAAGCUUAGCUAAUACCGCAUAUUAUUCGAUCGGCCGAUAUCUGAUUAUCUAGUGGGUGGGGUAAAGGCAUACCAAGGCGACGAUCAGUAGCGGGGCUGAGAGGAUGAUCCGCCACACUGGGACUGAGACACGGCCCAGACUCCUACGGGAGGCAGCAGUGGGGAAUUUUGGGCAAUGGACGCAAGCCUGAUCCAGCCAUGCCGCGUGUCUGAAGAAGGCUUUCGGGUUGUAAAGGACUGUUGUCAGGGAAGCGGUACCUGAAGAAUAAGCACCGGCUAACUACGUGCCAGCAGCCGCGGUAAUUC